rnacentral:rRNA from 1 species
UGGGGAAUCUUGGACAAUGGGCGCAAGCCUGAUCCAGCCAUGCCGCGUGAAGGAUGAAGUAUUUCGGUAUGUAAACUUCGUAAGAAUAGGAAGAAUAAAUGACGGUACUAUUUGUAAGGUCCGGCUAACUACGUGCCAGCAGCCGCGGUAAUACGUAGGGACCAAGCGUUGUUCGGAUUUACUGGGCGUAAAGGGCGCGUAGGCGGCAUGACAAGUCACUUGUGAAAUCUCUGGGCUUAACCCAGAACGGCCAAGUGAUACUGUCGCGCUAGAGUGCAGAAGGGGCAAUCGGAAUUCUUGGUGUAGCGGUGAAAUGCGUAGAUAUCAAGAGGAACACCUGAAAGGUGAAGACGGGUUGCUGGGCUGACACUGACGCUGAGGCGCGAAAGCCAGGGGAGCAAACGGGAUUAGAUACCCCUGUAGUCCCUGAGCGGGCUGGCAAGGCGCAU